AGUGAACGCUGGCGGUAGGCCUAACGCAUGCAAGUCGAACGGCAGCACAGUAGGAGCUUGCUCUUACGGGUGGUGAGUGGCGGACGGGUGAGGAAUACAUCGGAAUCUACUUUUUCGUGGGGGAUAACGUAGGGAAACUUACGCUAAUACCGCAUACGACCUACGGGUGAAAGCAGGGGAUCUUCGGACCUUGCGCGAUUGAAUGAGCCGAUGUCGGAUUAGCUAGUUGGCGGGGUAAAGGCCCACCAAGGCGACGAUCCGUAGCUGGUCUGAGAGGAUGAUCAGCCACACUGGAACUGAGACACGGUCCAGACUCCUACGGGAGGCAGCAGUGGGGAAUAUUGGACAAUGGGCGCAAGCCUGAUCCAGCCAUACCGCGUGGGUGAAGAAGGCCUUCGGGUUGUAAAGCCCUUUUGUUGGGAAAGAAAAGCAGCAGGUUAAUACCCCGCUGUUCUGACGGUACCCAAAGAAUAAGCACCGGCUAACUUCGUG
rnacentral:rRNA from 1 species